GAAAUGCGAUAAGUAAUGUGAAUUGCAGAAUUCAGUGAAUCAUCGAAUCUUUGAACGCACCUUGUGCUCCUUGGUAUUCCUUGGAGCAUGCCUGUUUGAGUAUCAUGAAAUCUUCAAAGUAAAUCUUUUGUUAACUCAAUUGGUUUCUACUUUGGUAUUGGAGGUCUUUGCAGCUUCACACCUGCUCCUCUUUGUUCAUUAGCUGGAUCUCAGUGUUAUGCUUGGUUCCACUCGGCGUGAUAAGUUAUCUAUCGCUGAGGACACUGUAAAAGGUGGCCAAGGUAAAUGCAGAUGAACCGCUUCUAAUAGUCCAUUGACUUGGACAAUACUUUUAUGAUCUGAUCUCAAAUCAGGUAGGACUACCCGCUGAACUCAAGC
rnacentral:misc_RNA from 1 species